rnacentral:ncRNA from 1 species
AUGAAGGUUUUGGGAGAGAUUACUUUACAUUAAAGUAACGCCGAAGGAAUAAGCCCGGUCAGGGUGAAGAUCUCAGGCAAAAGGACCAAUACCGGACA